AUUUAAAUAUUUUUCUUUUAUUUGCAUGACCAUGAAAAUAAAUUUUAGCAUUUCUCAUAAUUGGAGAAUGGGUCAGUAGAAUCCCAUUUUACCAAAACUUUAUCUCUUUUCAAAUUUAUUUAAUUUAGGAAUCUAUUAAAUUCCUCUUUACACCAAAAACAAAGUGAUCGUAGAUUCAGACGACUCAUUCACACAUUAAUUCAUUUGUCUAGUAAACCACUUUGUAAAUAUGCACAUACUUCGCACGACUAGCUAACAAGCUAAGGAUAAGUGGUACAAGAAACAAUGGAAAUUAUUAAGGCUUACCUACACCACGCUCAUCCCCAGUGAUAGUGCCAUUAUUAAUCGUCAUCAUCCCAUUUAUACCCAUGUGACGAAUUUAUUCACAAAAAUUAAUUACAAGAUUGGUCAAGAUAGAAGUUGGACACCAUCCGUCCUGUUACGCAAUGCACAGAAUUUUGCAUGGUACAUUUUUAAACAGGAAAUUGAGAAUAGAUGAAUGAAACCAAUUAUGAUUCUAUUAAAAGAACUCGUCUUCCUCUUCAGUAAAAUUCAAUUCAUUCAAUUGCAUUUCGUUGAUUUCAUUACGAUCAAAUUUUCAACCAUGUAAAUUAAUUUCAGUUGAAGAGGAUGUAAAUUGAUACCCGUCGUGGUUGCUAAAAGGCACGACUUUUUGGCUGUCAGUCAGCUCUAAUUGGUUAUAGAAAACACUAUGAUAAAAUCAGCUCCAAUCACUUUCACUAUCGUUUCUUUACUUGAGAGUCGGAGAGAACAUUAGGUUCUCCGUAUUCAGAUGCGGAUGAGGGAAAUUACAUUUAUAUACAAAUUGUCAAACCAUUCUUAUAACUGUUACGUCCAUGACACAACAAAACGAAAAACGCAUUAUUAUAAAAAGAUUACAAAUAGUUAGUGGUGGUCCAUCCUUUUUUACUUAUCAUAUAUACUAAUGAGUGAAUCCUAUAUUUGAGCACAAAAUUCCCUUUCAACUUGGCAUAGAAUGCAUAUAACGGAGUUAGUACCAAUGAUAAACAGAUAUCUGGAAGCGUAACUACAUAUAUAGGGCAAUAUAAUAAAGUAGGCACUUAUUUUAGCACAAUAUUCUACAGAUUUAUAAGAUAUGCUUCAUUAUCAUUAAAUUCAAAUUAGCGUCUCAAAAUGCAUUACAAGAAGUAAAAAAUUGUAAUAUGGUUUGCAUAAAAAUACUUCACAUGGACAAGGGUAUUGACAAAAUGUGCUAAACAAGACUUCUGUUUUAUCUUCCCACACACAUAUUUAUAAAAUAGUUUGUUUUAAUCUUGAAUGACAAAAAUGUCGUCACUGCAUGAUGAGGCAGGAAGGAAAAAAGGGAGUCAAAGUGCAAGCAAGAAAAUUAAUUAUACCAACUCUGGUGCUGUGGUGUUCUUGAUAUUUGUGCAAAUAGUUCUUGAAACAACGAUAUCUUCGCGUUGCACCUCUUCCUUCCUUCCUCUUUAUUUAUUUUGUUUGCAAUGGGCAUCAUCUUCAAUGUAUAAAAGCCAUUGAGCAGAAGCAAAACACAUGUCGAAUUUCUAGUGACUUGUGGAAAAUGCAGCAGUUUAUGGUUGGGCAGAUAACGAAAGGCAGUUGACCAUGAUACCUGAUCUUCCAUGCAGGCAUAAUAUUCAUAUGUACAUCUUUUACUUUACAAUAGUUAGCGUGUCACCCAAAGUCGAAUUAUUAGUUUGGUUGUGCAAAGUAAAAGCACGCAAAAGAAUGCGACACAUGAUUACCUUGACUUUUGAGAAUCUUCUUCAGCAUAAUUGCAAUAAUUGUGCUCAUCAUUAUGCAUAUCGUCUUGGAUUGAAUUUCUUGGUCUGUGCAUCAUUAGCAUGAUGCAUUAAUUCGACGACUAUCACAUUUUUAGGGCAAAAUUUGCUUUAGAAUAAAUCCAAAACUUGCAAAAUUAGAGCAGUUCAACCCAAUCGAUAAUUGCAGGGUGGUUUAUGCAUCGACAUGUGUUCACACUUGUAGAUGAGAACAAGCUAAAAAUGGCAUGUGUGUGGUGAUUGCCAAGUAAUUAGUAUCCCUUUGAAGUUUGUUGAAGGCUAUGGAUAGAGUUACAAAACAAAUUUUGAAUGAAGGUAGCUAAUUCUAGUGGGUAGGUAUACGUACAUUCUAUGAUGUCAUCUUCUUGUCUUUUCGUUCGUGUAUUAGUCAAGCACAAAGUAUAUAAAUUUUUGUGCGUGGACAUUAAUUUUCUUUCAAAUUAUAUGAAUGAGAGGAUGAGCUUAAGCUGAUGAAAUGAUAAUUAGUUGGGUUGGUAAGACUUAAGCCAAUGACACAAAAUUAAGAAGCCUUUGAAAAUAUAUCGACUUAACGAGGGAUUAUUGCCAUUCUCUUCUUUAUGGUUUAUCCCCUCGGAGUAGGUAAAUAUCAGUUUGAUUGCAUUUCGAAUGUUGACACUUUGUCAUAAAUAAUGUACCUUAAGUCAUGACUCACACUUUUCAACAAAUUGUGUCUCCCAAUUCUAAGCCAAGGUCUUAAUAUCAAAGCCAGGUUGUUCCCUUAGAUGGUAUUACGUAUGCAAGUGAAGUAAGGCGACGGCUCAUUUGCAUCAGUUUUUUGAAUGGGAGUAAGGGUAGUGGUCUUUCCCUAAUUAGUGCAUAUUUUUCUCGUUGAGGUUCAUUAGGCAUUUGGUAACAGGCCUAAAUUUAGCAAGGGGAAUGAUUAACCUAAUGAUGCACCUUGUCCAUAAAAAGUGUGGAGUAUAAUUAGGGCGUUGAAAAAGCCAGCACAGAAGAUGAUGAGAACGAAUCUUUGCAAAUGAUCGUUAUCUGCCAUUCAUUAACUAAAGUUUAAUAUUCAUAUAUUCAAUAAUUAUGUAAGUACUGAUAAAUGUACAAGUGUGCUGCAUUCAUAUUCCACCUUAUCAUGAUGGCACCCUUUGACUCGUUGACCUUUUCCUGCAUUCUCAGGAGGCGAAAAUGGAAGAUGACCACUCAGAGCUCUCCAUACAUAACGUUGCGCGUGCAGUUUUGAUUUCAAUAAUAAUAAUAUGUCAUGCGUCGCCUGCUGCAAAUAUUCAAGAUUAAUGUUCUCUUAUUACCAACCAAUAGAUUAAUCAAUAGGAUAAUAUGAUCUUAUUACUGAAGAGUUUUCCAUACUCUGCAAUCUGCAAGUAUAAAUUAUUUACUUAUUUACCUAAAUUUGGCCCUCAUUUGGACCCAGCGAACCACCCACCAUCAUUAUAACAUAGUCUCUCUCAACUAAUCUCAUAACACAGAUUAGCGAAUUCUCUCACCGUACAAAAGAGAUUUUUUUUUCAAGAACGGUACAAAUCACGAAAUGUCCUCGAACCGUCGUCGUGUUCAUCUUCCUCUCAGUCGGAGGUACAUAAUUCUGUUCUCUGACCACUCACCCUUUUUCUUUAAGGUUGCAACAUUAGUUGAGCAGAUUUGUUGGUAUGAAUAUAUAACCAUAAAAUCAAUUAUUAUUAGCUUAUGCCCACAGACAAAACAGGCUUAUGUGAUCCAUCCCAUUGCGUCAGAGAUGCGUUAAAAGAAGUUAAAAUUAGACAACUUAUGUACACUUUUGCGUCUUUGUGAUGAAAAAUCAGUUUACAAUAAUUUCUCGAUCUUUUAGAUAUUUUUUAUUAUUUAUUAUUGCAAAAAUUGCAUUGGAAUUGCAUCCAUCUUUAUGUUAAGUAGUGACAGACUGGGCAUUACUGCAAGUUGCGACAUAAAUGUUGUUUGUGCAGAAUUUAAAUUCAUUCAUUGAAGGCAAUAUGUGUAAGCAGUAAUAAGUAAGGUGAGGUAUUUAACACUUCAUGAAGAAGACAUGACGCAUCUUCACCGUUUUCUUCUCCUGUUUAUUCUAUAUACAUCAGUGGCCAAAUUAUUUAAUCGUUGCAAAGUAGUCAUUCGUGUGUCGCAAGCGGCUGUGUAGCUGACGAUUAAUAGUCAAGAAGAGCUUAUGUAAGACAUGCAAAGGUCUUUGUCUCAACUGGGCUCAGGUUUCUUCUUUGUCUCUCGAUUGGAGUCCACUCUAAAAUUAACAAUUCACCAAGUCGAAAUCCAUGAAUAUUCAGUAGAAGAGGAGUGAUAACAUCAUAAAGGCACGAAUUUGGGAGAAGGAGAGGAAACAGAAAUUUUCCCAUUAAUUUGGUCAGUGUCAGACGACAGAGCUAGAAGUAGCAAUGACCAGCCCAAACAUGAACAAUUGCAUAAUCAUCAUGUAUGUAUAUAGAUUUUGUUUGGUAAAAUAGGACUUUAACUUUGUUUCAUCUUGUGUAAAUUAUAUAAUAAAGAAAUUCAUCCGAUUACAACAAACGUAGACAGAUUGGCACGAAUUCUAUGCCCAAUUAUAGAAACUGCAUCAUCCAUCGUGAUUCCACAUAAUUGACACAUUAUUUAUUUGCGAAUUCGACAUGAUACCAACACAAGCAUGAAAUUACAAUUAUUAUUUAAUUCUUGCAAGGUCAAAGUCAGUGACUUGUGCAUACUCUAAUUCACGAAUUAAUGGUACAUACAUACAUAACUUUACAUAUAUGCCAUGCAGAACGUAUGCAAUUUUUACUAAUAAGUUAAAAUGUUUUCUUGUUACA